AUUGAACGCUGGCGGUAUGCUUAACACAUGCAAGUCGAACGAGUGGCGGACGGGUGAGUAAUGGAUAGGAAUCUACCUUUUAGUCUAGGAUAACUACCCGAAAGGGUGGCUAAUACUGGAUGCUAAGAGAGGAGCCUAGUUGGGAUUAGCUAGUUGUUGGGGUAAUGGCUCACCAAGGCGACGAUCUCUAGCUGGUUUGAGAGGAUGAGCAGCCAAACUUGGACUGAGACACGGCCCAGACUCCGACGGGAGGCAGCAUUGGGGAAUAUUGGACAAUGGGCGAAAGCCUGAUCCAGCAAUACCGCGUGUGUGAAGAAGGCCCUAGGGUUGUAAAGUACUUUCAGCGGGGAGGCGUUACCCGCAGAAGAAUCACCGGCUAACUCCGUGCCAGCAGCCGCGGUAAUAC
rnacentral:rRNA from 1 species